GCAAAAGAAGUAGGUAGUUUAACCUUCGGGGGGACGCUUACCACUUUGUGGUUCAUGACUGGGGUGAAGUCGUAACAAGGUAGCGCUAGGGGAACCUGGCGCUGGAUCACCUCCUUAAACGAUGAU
rnacentral:rRNA from 1 species